GCGGAAGUGGCUCAGUUGGUAGAGCAUCACCUUGCCAAGGUGAGGGUCGCGGGUUCGAGUCCCGUCUUCCGCU
rfam:Thermobispora bispora DSM 43833, complete genome.